rnacentral:rRNA from 1 species
AGUGAACGCUGGCGGCAGGCCUAACACAUGCAAGUCGAACGGCAGCACAGUAAGAGCUUGCUCUUACCGGUGGCGAGAGGCGGACGGGUGAGGAAUACACCGGAAUCUACUUUUUCGUGGGGGAUAACGUAGGGAAACUUACGCUAAUACCGCAUACGACCUACGGGUGAAAGCAGUGGAUCUUCGGACCUUGCGCGAUUGAAUGAGCCGAUGUCGGAUUAGCUAGUUGGCGGGGUAAAGGCCCACCAAGGCGACGAUCCGUAGCUGGUCUGAGAGGAUGAUCAGCCACACUGGAACUGAGACACGGUCCAGACUCCUACGGGAGGCAGCAGUGGGGAAUAUUGGACAAUGGGCGCAAGCCUGAUCCAGCCAUACCGCGUGGGUGAAGAAGGCCUUCGGGUUGUAAAGCCCUUUUGUUGGGAAAGAAAAGCAGCAGGUUAAUACGCCGCUGUUCUGACGGUACCCGAAGAAUAAGCACCGGCUAACUACGUG